GCCGCCGUUCGCGGGUUUGCGGAGCACCGGCGGCGCCGGGUCCGCUGCGGGAGGGCGGCGGUGCGGGCUCUUGUGCACGCCGGCCCUUCCUUCCGUGCGCCUGCUUUCCUGCCUUUUUAUGGCAUCGGUUGGUUGGGUGGUUGGGGUUUUUGUUGUCUUAUUUUUUUCCAGGCAGGAAGAGCGUUUUGUUCGGCUAAAGCGGCCGAAUGGAGCCGUGGUUGUGUUACGGCAUCGUGUCUCCAGGAGGAAACGGGCGCUGAUGGAUCGGGAAGGGAAGGAACGCGCUCGGAGUGUUCAGAGCGGUGCCUUUUGUUGGCGCCUUUCUAAAAUUAAACUGUUGGUGGAAAAAUAAUCUUUGUUACAGAUCCAACUUUCCACUAUUCCAGCGGAAGCUCGGAAAAAGAGCAGGACCCUGGUACUUGGUGCUGACUUUUACCCUUCUUUGCUCUACUCUUCAAUGUAUACUUUUUGUAUCCUUCCGUUGAAGGAACCCAUUUUUCUCCUGUAACUAAUUUUUGCAGGCAUGGCUUUAUCAGCUAGCCGAAUUUUUCCUUUCCUUAGUACUUGCACCUCAUCUCAUGUUUACUUAUAUAUUGAAAUUUCUCUUUCUAAUACUAAUAUUUUUCUUUAUUUUGAUACCUGUCGAUGACUUGUUGACUGACUUUCAGAAAUGGUGAGGUCUCUCUCAUAGAAGAGAAUGCUCUCUGAAUAUAGUGUAUCUUUGUAACUAUUUGGGUAAAAAAUGUGGUACAGUUUUGUUUUAACUAAACAGCCAAAUUGUGUACGUUUCCAUGAUUUUAAAACUAAUGGAAAUACGGGGGUGUAGCACCAUCUAGUUUUACUUGCAUCAACAAGUGUAAAUAAAAGAGAUUGGUUUGGACUUCAGAUUAUAA